GGCUCCGUUACUCUUACCGAGCUAUAGGCAGCGCCUAUUUGAGCAAUCUUCUGGGUGGAGGGGGGGCGAGUCGUAACGGGGUAAGUGUACGGGAAGGUGC
rnacentral:rRNA from 1 species